UUGACAUCCAGAGAACUUGGCAGAGAUGCCCUGGUGCCUUCCGGGAACUCUGAGACAGGUGCUGCAUGGCUGUCGUCAGCUCGUGUUGUGAAAUGUUGGGUUAAGUCCGCAACGAGCGCAACCCCUAUCCUUUGUUGCCAGCGAUUCGGUCGGGAACUCAAAGGAGACUGCCGGUGAUAAACCGGAGGAAGGUGGGGAUGACGUCAAGUCAUCAUGGCCCUUACGAGUAGGGCUACACACGUGCUACAAUGGCGCAUACAAAGAGAAGCGACCUCGCGAGAGCAAGCGGACCUCAUAAAGUGCGUCGUAGUCCGGAUCGGAGUCUGCAACUCGACUCCGUGAAGUCGGAAUCGCUAGUAAUCGUAGAUCAGAAUGCUACGGUGAAUACGUUCCCGGGCCUUGUACACACCGCCCGUCACACCAUGGGAGUGGGUUGCAAAAGAAGUAGAUAGCUUAACCUUCGGGAGGGCGUUUACCACUUUGUGAUUCAUGACUGGGGUGAAGUCGUAACAAGGUAAGCGUAGACGU
rnacentral:rRNA from 1 species